rnacentral:rRNA from 1 species
CGUGUAGGCGGCUAGGUAGGUCCGUUGUGAAAACUCGAGGCUCAACCUCGAGACGUCGAUGGAAACCAUCUAGCUAGAGUCCGGAAGAGGAGAGUGGAAUUCCUGGUGUAGCGGUGAAAUGCGCAGAUAUCAGGAAGAACACCCGUGGCGAAGGCGGCUCACUGGAUCUCUUCUGACGCUGAGGCAAGCUAGGGUAGCGAACG